GAUGAACGCUGGCGGCGUGCCUAAUACAUGCAAGUCGAGCGAACGGACGAGAAGCUUGCUUCUCUGAUGUUAGCGGCGGACGGGUGAGUAACACGUGGAUAACCUACCUAUAAGACUGGGAUAACUUCGGGAAACCGGAGCUAAUACCGGAUAAUAUUUUGAACCGCAUGGGUCAAAAGUGAAAGACGGUCUUGCGGUCACUUAUAGAUGGAUCCGCGCUGCAUUAGCUAGUUGGUAAGGUAACGGCUUACCAAGGCAACGAUGCAUAGCCGACCUGAGAGGGUGAUCGGCCACACUGGAACUGAGACACGGUCCAGACUCCUACGGGAGGCAGCAGUAGGGAAUCUUCCGCAAUGGGCGAAAGCCUGACGGAGCAACGCCGCGUGAGUGAUGAAGGUCUUCGGAUCGUAAAACUCUGUUAUUAGGGAAGAACAUAUGUGUAAGUAACUGUGCACAUCUUGACGGUACCUAAUCAGAAAGCCACGGCUAACUACGUG
rnacentral:rRNA from 1 species